GAUGAUGAUGAUGAUGAUGAUGAUGUAAGUGCUAUGAUGAUGAUGAGAAUGUCAAGUUAUUGCAUGAUGUCCGCUGCUGUUCGGACUCGGGGCCAGAACACUGGAAUGAGCAGCGUAUUGGAGCUUUUACUUGCUCGGUGGGCCAGCAAAUAAAAUCCCCUCUGUUAACAGGACGAAGCUGAAUUACCUACUGGCACUGCGAUUUGUGGACGUGACACAUCAAGUUAUCGUUAUUAUAAAAUAUGACCAGAUUCUCAAAAUGAGUGCAAUCUUCAUUCUUCUGACCUCGGAGGACCAUUAAGCCGUCCUCAUUCAACAUAAUUACUCAUUAUGGAUGUUACAAAACCAACACAGGGCAGAGUUAUGUAAAAUCUUAACUACUCCAUUUCAUCUUUUGCUUGCAGUCAAAAUACUGCAGACAAUCACGUCAGUAUUACAGCCCCAUAAAUCCACAUAUGCCUUUCUUAAUCAGACAAUCUAAACACAUGAAAGUAAUAACUGUGUGUAGAAACAGAAGCAGAACCAACAUGCAAUGAAAUAUGAUCCUCCUGGGGUUUGUUUUAUAAUGAGGAAACUGUCUGGGUGAUUAAGCAUGUAGACAUUGUACAUGUCAAAAGUCUAAUUGGGAAGCUGAAGUGAACUGAAUUAUUUUUUUUGUUAAAUAAAUAAAUAAAUAAAUAAAUAAAUAAAUAAAUAAGUCCACUUGCAUCUCGUUAAUUCCGUGCCAACGUACCUGAUCCAUCAAAGGACAAUUGCAUCUUCUACAUUUUUAAAAAUCUAUUCGGUCCAUCAGUGCUCAUCAUUUCAGGAGGUGCAUGUCAUGUCAAUCAUGAUGCAUCAGUGCAACACAACAAAGCACCAUCAUGGCAUGAGAUCUGGCGCCUGAGUGCCCGUUUGAGACCGGCCUAUAAGUUUGAGUGAUGGAAAUCUGACCUUAGACAUACUUUAAUGCACAUCUGGCUCAUAUUUUCACAGCGUGGUGCAAUGCUAAGGUAUACGCAUACCAUGUGCUCAAAAAGGCACUCGUUCCAAACAAAAGAAAGGAAGCAAGUGAAAGAGAGAGAGAGAGAGAGAGAGAGAGAGAGAGAGAGAGAGUGUGCGCUCUGUAGCCAUCUGGUAGCCAUCAGUAAAAGCAGAGGAAGCGAUCUCCACGCUGCUCUCGGACACCAGAGAGCGUCUGCUUUCUGAUGAACGGCUAUACGGGAGAAACAAAAGGACUGAGAUAGAAUGGGGACGAGAGAGAGAGAGGGGGGAAAAGAAAAAAAAGAAAAAAAAAAAAAAAAAGACCCUGGUAGGUUCACAUUCCUGCCCUCUCCAGCAUGCUGCAUGCUGGGAAACGCUAUAGAAAAUGACACGUGUGACCGCAAGGAAGAAAUUUGGAAAACUGAAUUAAUACCACAUACAGAGCUCUAUAACUGCUGACGUGUUGAACAGGACGUGUGCAUCCUUACUACAUUAUGAUCUACGUCUAGACCUGAACGUUUUACUACGGUCCAAAAACGAGAAUGUCUCGUGUGAUAGACAGUAAUUCUGCCAAGGUGCCAUCAUUACUAACUGAUAUAUAAAUCCAGAAAAACAACAACAACAACAACAACAACAACUGGGAAUCAAUUAAAAAGAUCACCAGACAUCAGCGAUGUUGAAUAACGUGAUCACGAUCGACUCGAAAUGAGGACAAUACAAAAAAUAUAUCUGUGAAGAAAUAUCGCAAUAAUGAAAAAAAAAAGGAAGAAGAGAAAGCGGAGACCCCGCCCCCCCCCAAGUCCACGGUUCUCUUUCACCUUAUCACGGUUUGGGAACGAGCGUGGCUGAGCAAAUAUCCCAGCACAUAAAAGAACACAUCUGUUUACAAACUGCAGCAGGGAGACCUUUUAACCAGAUGACAAAUCUGCAAACAGGCACUGUGUAUUCAAGGAGGAACUGACUCUUCCUGUAAGAUACCCUGGAUGUGCUUUCAGAAAUGAUGCAAGUUCACAAUCUGAUCAGCGCACUGACGCCGAUAUCGUGCCUUAACUCAUAUUUGUUAACAAAAGCUCCGAUAACAUGCGACACCGCGUUGCCGGGUUCUGGAUGCGUUUCAGGAACAAUAAAUCAAUGCAAUGCAGAUUGCAAACCGCUCUGUGGGAAAAUCACACAGAGGAACUACAACAUCUUCCUACAACACAGGUAUCUUUUAUAGAGAGGGGGCGCGGGUGGCCUGCCUGAAGCAGUAUCGUCGAGAGCGUACUAGGCUUCCCAGAU
ensembl:lncRNA